rnacentral:rRNA from 1 species
ACGCUGGCGGCGUGCCUAACACAUGCAAGUCGAGCGAAGUUUAUCGAGCGGAGACUUCGGUCAAAGCUUGAUAGACUUAGCGGCGAACGGGUGAGUAACACGUAGGUAACCUGCCCAUGACACGGGGAUAGCUUCGGGAAACCGGAGGUAAUACCCGAUACCUUUGCGCAUUGCAUGGUGUGCAAAGAAAGCGAAUAAGCGGUCAUGGAUGGGCCUGCGUCCCAUUAGCUAGUUGGCGGGAUAACAGCCCACCAAGGCGACGAUGGGUAGCCGACCUGAGAGGGUGACCGGCCACACUGGAACUGAGACACGGUCCAGACUCCUACGGGAGGCAGCAGUGGGGAAUCUUGCGCAAUGGGCGAAAGCCUGACGCAGCGACGCCGCGUGAGCGAAGAAGGCCUUCGGGUCGUAAAGCUCAGUCAUUGGGGAAGAAGAGGACAGUACCCAAGGAGGAAGCCCCGGCUAACUACGUGCCAGCAGCCGCGGUAAUACGUAGGGGGCGAGCGUUGUCCGGAAUUACUGGGCGUAAAGGGCGUGUAGGCGGGGAUGCAAGUUACCUGUAAAAACCCAGGGCUCAACUCUGGGCUUGCUGGUAAAACUGCAUUUCUUGAGUGUAGGAGAGGGAAGUGGAAUUCCCGGAGUAGCGGUGAAAUGCGUAGAUACCGGGAGGAACACCAGUGGCGAAGGCGGCUUCCUGGCCUACAACUGACGCUGAGGCGCGAAAGCUAGGGGAGCGAACGGGAUUAGAUACCCCGGUAGUCCUAGCCGUAAACGAUGGUCACUAGGUGUGGGUGGUGGUCAAGCCAUCCGUGCCGGAGCUAACGCAAUAAGUGACCCACCUGGGGAGUACGGCCGCAAGG